UGCCAUACGCUUUCCACUCCGCC
rnacentral:misc_RNA from 1 species